rnacentral:rRNA from 1 species
CCCUUAGAUGUUCUGGGCCGCACGCGUGCUACACUGAACGGUUCAAUGGGUAAGGUAGUGCGAAAGCAUGACCUAAUCUCGAAAUCCGUUCGUGCUGGGGAUAGAAGCUUGCAAUUAUCCUUCUUGAACGAGGAAUACCUUGUAAGCGUGAGUCAUCAUCUCACGCUGAAUACGUCCCUGCCCUUUGUACACACCGCCCGUCGCUCCUACCGAUUGGGUGUUCCGGUGAGGCUUUGGGAGAAUGGCCUCAACAUGAGUUUAUCGUGUUUUGCCGUUUGAACUUAGUCAAACCUUAUCACUUAGAGGAAGGAGAAGUCGUAACA